rnacentral:rRNA from 1 species
UUAGAAGCAGCCAUUCAUUUAAAGAGUGCGUAACAGCUCACUAGUCAAGAGAUCUUGCGUGGAAAAUGUAACGGGGCUAAAACGUUAUACCGAAGAUAUGGAUUACAUGCUAAGUACAAAGUUAAAGUUGUGUUACAAUCAAUUUAUGGAAAAUGAGAUUUACGUAGGUAGCGUUUAUAAACACUAUAAAGGCAAUAAGUAUGUUGUUGUAAGUAUAGCUGUUCAUACUGAGACGCUUGAAGAGCUUGUAGUUUAUCGAGCCAUUUAUGGCGACGGAGAACUAUGGGCUAGACCUAAGAAAAUGUUUUUAGAUAAUAUUGAAAAAGACGGAAAGAUCAUUCCAAGGUUUAAAUUGAUUAAGAAACUUUGAUUUUGUUCUUAGUGUGUAGUGGUAGAGGAGCGUUCCUAUCAGCGGUGAAGUCGAAUCGGAAGGUUCGGUGGAGCGGUAGGAAGUGAGAAUGCUGGAAUGAGUAACCAUAAGAGAGGUGAGAAUCCUCUCGGCCGUAAGAGCAAGGUUUCCUGAGCCAUGGUAAUCAUCUCAGGGUUAGUCGGGCCUAAGCCGAGGCGCAGAGCGUAGGCGAUGGACAUCAGGUUAAUAUUCCUGAACCGGUUAAGUUUUGUACACUGUUCACGGGGAAGUAAUCGAAGCGGAUUCAUGGUUUAUCCGUCCAACCGAGCGGGAACGCAAAGGGAGUGAAAGUAACUCUUCGGAGUUGCGAUUUUGGUGAAAGCCCUGGCUAGAAAAGCAGGUGUACGCGUGGACUUAGCCGCCCGUACCGCAAACCAACACAGGUGCUCGAGUCGAGUAGACUCAGGCUUACGAGCGAACCUUCGCUAAGGAACUCGGCAAUACAGCGACCGUAACUUCGGGAUAAGGUCUGCCCCCACUUCGGUGGAUAUCAGCCGCGUUCACUCAGUGAAUAUUAGGUUAAAGAGUACAUUUUUAAUCACAAAACGAAUUUUCUGAGAUAGAGCAAACGAAUUGUUCUUUUGAACGCGAACCUCUGGCAUCUAACGAUGUGGGGGCCGCAGCAAAAGAGCCCACGGAACUGUUUAUCAAAAACACAGGUCUCUGCUAACACGAAAGUGGAUGUAUAGGGGCUGACUCCUGCCCAAUGCUGGAAGGUUAAGGGGAGCGCUUCACGGUGCGAACUGAAGCCCUAGUCAAUGGCGGCGGUAACUAUAACCGUCCUAAGGUAGCGAAAUUCCUUGUCAGGUAAGUUCUGACCCGCACGAAUGGAGUAAUCAUGUGGGCACUGUCUCAGCGAAGGACUCGGUGAAAGUGCAUUGGCGGUAAAGAUGCCGUCUGUCCGUACCAGGACGAAAAGACCCCAUGGAGCUUUACUACAGCUUUACAUUGAAUAUGGUUUCAACAUGUGUAGCAUAGGUGGGAGACUUUGAAGCAGAUACGCCAGUAUUUGUGGAGUCACCAAGUGAAAUACCACCCUUGUUGUGAUUGUGUUCUCACGCUGACCGUUAUCCGGUUAGCGGACCGUGUAUGGUGGGUAGUUUAACUGGGGCGGUUGCCUCCUAAAGAGUAGCGGAGGCGUUCAAAGGU